GUGUCAGGACCCCGACGGAAGAGAGCGCGGUGUCCGCAGGGGUACCGCUGUAUAUAAGCUAACGGAAAGCGGGCCGACUCAGUGUCUUCGCAAUCCGUACCCCUACUGACACAACGACGAUGGCUGUCUCGAAGAUGGUUCUGCUGUUGGCCGCAGUGCUAGUCGUCGCCAUGUGCAUCACCUCGACAGAAGGACAGCCACGACCCCCCGGACGUAACCCCGGACGUAACUUCAAACGUGGCGGCGCUGGUGGCCGUGCGAGCACUCGCACUCACAGUCCCUACAAAUAUGGAGAUCUUGGAGAUGUUACUGGUUCCUUGUAGGGAACUGGCAUCAUGUGCAUCCUGAAGAAUCGGUACUUUUUCAGUGGCAGCGUAUAAAGUGCUCAAAGGGUUUUUUAAUGUUUUUGAAACUUGCCGGAUGUGGACACUUGUUUUUGGCCCCAAACCUCCGUUUUCUGCUGCAUUCUUGAAAGCGCCAGAACAAGAAGUACAGAAAUAAAACUAUGGGAAACGUUG